ACUCCUACGGGAGGCAGCAGUAGGGAAUCUUCCACAAUGGGCGCAAGCCUGAUGGAGCAACACCGCGUGAGUGAAGAAGGGUUUCGGCUCGUAAAGCUCUGUUGUUAAAGAAGAACACGUAUGAGAGUAACUGUUCAUACGUUGACGGUAUUUAACCAGAAAGUCACGGCUAACUACGUGCCAGCAGCCGCGGUAAUACGUAGGUGGCAAGCGUUAUCCGGAUUUAUUGGGCGUAAAGAGUGCAGGCGGUUUUCUAAGUCUGAUGUGAAAGCCUUCGGCUUAACCGGAGAAGUGCAUCGGAAACUGGAUAACUUGAGUGCAGAAGAGGUAGUGGAACUCCAUGUGUAGCGGUGGAAUGCGUAGAUAUAUGGA
rnacentral:rRNA from 1 species